CUCGUAGGCGGCCAACUAAGUCGGACGUGAAAUCCCUCGGCUUAACCGGGGAACUGCGUCCGAUACUGGAUGGCUUGAGUAUGGGAGAGGGAUGCGGAAUUCCAGGUGUAGCGGUGAAAUGCGUAGAUAUCUGGAGGAACACCGGUGGCGAAGGCGGCAUCCUGGACCAUUACUGACGCUGAGGAGCGAAAGCCAGGGGAGCAAACG
rnacentral:rRNA from 1 species